GCCGUAGCUUAGAGGUACAGCAUCUGCCUUCUGUUCAGAAGGCCCCAGAUUCAAUUCUUGGCAACUCCC